rnacentral:tRNA from 1 species
AUUUAAAUAGUUUAAUAAAAAUAUUAAUUUGUGGAAUUAAUGAUACAUUUUUAUGUUUUAAAUU